GAUCGUAAGACCUUGCACUAUUGGAUGAGCCUACGUCUGAUUAGCUAGUUGGUAGGGUAAAAGCCUACCAAGGCCACGAUCGGUAGCUGGUCUGAGAGGACGAUCAGCCACACUGGGACUGAGACACGGCCCAGACUCCUACGGGAGGCAGCAGUGGGGAAUAUUGGACAAUGGGCGAAAGCCUGAUCCAGCAAUGCCGCGUGUGUGAAGAAGGCCUGCGGGUUGUAAAGCACUUUCAGCAGGGAAGAAAAGCUUAGGGCUAAUACCUCUAAGUCUUGACGUUACCUGCAGAAGAAGCACCGGCUAACUCCGUGCCAGCAGCCGCGGUAAUACGGAGGGUGCGAGCGUUAAUCGGAAUUACUGGGCGUAAAGCGCGCGUAGGCGGUUGAGCAAGUCGGAUGUGAAAGCCCUGGGCUUAACCUGGGAAUUGCAUUCGAGACUGCUCGGCUAGAGUUUGGUAGAGGAAAGCGGAAUUCCGGGUGUAGCGGUGAAAUGCGUAGAUAUCCGGAGGAACAUCAGUGGCGAAGGCGGCUUUCUGGACUGAAACUGACGCUGAGGUGCGAAAGCGUGGGAGCAAACGG
rnacentral:rRNA from 1 species